ACACGAUCUUGAUACCCAAAAGGACUCAUGUUCUCAACAAACCCAUUAUCACUUGCAUUUGGAAACCUAAAUCCAUCACCCUGAGUGGAACUGGAAUCAGCUUUGAUACAUGACAAGUAUUUGUCGGCCAGAUACAUAAGAGAUUCCUCAGCAGCAUGUCGUUGCGCUUCCCUUCUCGUCCGGCCGAUUCCUUCUCCAACCUUUUCUCCUGCAAACAACACCUCCAAGCAGAACUGCAGUUCUGGACUCGAA
rnacentral:misc_RNA from 1 species